CCUACGGGUGGCUGCAGUGAGGAAUAUUGGUCAAUGGGCGAGAGCCUGAACCAGCCAAGUCGCGUGAGGGAGUACUGCCCUAUGGGUUGUAAACCUCUUUUGUCGGGGAGCAAAAGCCGGACGUGUCCGGCUGUGAGAGUACCCGAAGAAAAAGCAUCGGCUAACUCCGUGCCAGCAGCCGCGGUAAUACGGAGGAUGCGAGCGUUAUCCGGAUUUAUUGGGGUUAAAGGGUGCGCAGGCGGAUUUUUAAGUCAGCGGUCAAAUCGUGGGGCUCAACCGUAAAAUUGCAAUUGAUACUGGCAGUCUUGAGUACAGUUGAGGUAAGCGGAAUUCGUGGUGUAGCGGUGAAAUGCUUAGAUAUCACGAAGAACCCCGAUUGCGAAGGCAGCUUACUAAACUGUGACUGACAUUGAUGCUCGAAAGUGUGGGUAUCAAACAGGAUUAGAUACCCGAGUAGUC
rnacentral:rRNA from 1 species